rnacentral:rRNA from 1 species
UACGGAGGGGGCUAGCGUUGUUCGGAAUUACUGGGCGUAAAGCGCACGUAGGCGGACAUUUAAGUCAGGGGUGAAAUCCCGGGGCUCAACCCCGGAACGGCCUUUGAUACUGGGUGUCUGGAGGAUGAGAGAGGCGAGUGGAAUUCCGAGUGUAGAGGUGAAAUUCGUAGAUAUUCGGAGGAACACCAGUGGCGAAGGCGGCUCGCUGGCUCAUUACUGACGCUGAGGUGCGAAAGCGUGGGGAGCAAACAGG